rnacentral:rRNA from 1 species
CCUACGGGAGGCAGCAGUGAGGAAUAUUGGUCAAUGGACGAGAGUCUGAACCAGCCAAGUAGCGUGAAGGAUGACUGCCCUAUGGGUUGUAAACUUCUUUUAUAUGGGAAUAAAAUGUUCCACGUGUGGGAUUUUGUAUGUACCAUAUGAAUAAGGAUCGGCUAACUCCGUGCCAGCAGCCGCGGUAAUACGGAGGAUCCGAGCGUUAUCCGGAUUUAUUGGGUUUAAAGGGAGCGUAGGUGGAUGGCUAAGUCAGUUGUGAAAGUUUGCGGCUCAACCGUAAAAUUGCAGUUGAAACUGGCAGUCUUGAGUACAGUAGAGGUGGGAGAAAUUCGUGGUGUAGCGGUGAAAUGAUUAGAGAUAACGAAGAACUCCGAUUGCGAAGGCAGCUCAAUGGACUGAAACUGACACGGAGGCUCGAAAGUGUGGGUAUAAAACAGGAUUAGAUACCCGAGUAGUC